rnacentral:rRNA from 1 species
ACGCACGCUGGCGGCGUGCCUAAUACAUGCAAGUUGAGCGCUGAAGGUUGGUACUUGUACCGACUGGAUGAGCAGCGAACGGGUGAGUAACGCGUGGGGAAUCUGCCUUUGAGCGGGGGACAACAUUUGGAAACGAAUGCUAAUACCGCAUAAAAACUUUAAACACAAGUUUUAAGUUUGAAAGAUGCAAUUGCAUCACUCAAAGAUGAUCCCGCGUUGUAUUAGCUAGUUGGUGAGGUAAAGGCUCACCAAGGCGAUGAUACAUAGCCGACCUGAGAGGGUGAUCGGCCACAUUGGGACUGAGACACGGCCCAAACUCCUACGGGAGGCAGCAGUAGGGAAUCUUCGGCAAUGGACGAAAGUCUGACCGAGCAACGCCGCGUGAGUGAAGAAGGUUUUCGGAUCGUAAAACUCUGUUGGUAGAGAAGAACGUUGGUGAGAGUGGAAAGCUCAUCAAGUGACGGUAACUACCCAGAAAGGGACGGCUAACUACGUG